rnacentral:tRNA from 1 species
GUGGCUAUAGCUUAGUGGUAAAGCUCCGCUCUGUGAAAGCGGCGAUGCGGGUUCGAUUCCCGCUAGUCACCCCG